AAAAAGUGCUACCAUUUGGAAAUUGGGAAUAUGGUUGCCUGCAAACUCAAUCUUGUGCUCUAGCUGAUUGGGGUUUGGUAGGAUUUUAAUAUGCAAAUUCUGCGACUAAUUGUUUCUGUGGGAUAAAAGAACUUGACAUUCUUUUGCAACUGAAAUGAUUAAAAACCAGAGGAACUAUUAACAAGUGACGUGCUGAUGCCUGCUCGAGCAAACCUUUCUUGUUU
rnacentral:misc_RNA from 1 species